CCGUAGCCGCCGUAGCCGCAGGCACUCCUCCGCAUGGCUGCUGGCACGCUGGUGGCUAAGCGAUUGGUUUCCCUGCGCUACCUGUGCCUUGGCAGUUGGCUCUCGGCACUGCAUGGAUCGAUCGGCUUGGGGUUGUGUUUUAUAGGAGCGAUACGAUAUUGCUUUAGGCUACAUGCGUUUUCACUGUGGAAUGUGGAUUGCAGCAUUUGUUCUGGGCUGGUAGUGGUAGGGUAGUAGGACAGACACUGCUCUGACAGUCCGACCUGAUCAAUGGCUUUAUUCUUCUUCGAGUCCACUCAGGCGAGUCCUCAGGCCUGCACGAGCAUCUAGUUCGUUGUGGGCGGCAUGGCAUAAACAAUACCAAAAUGAUUAAAGCAAUGAUCCGGCUUGCCCCGUCAAUGGUGAUUAGUGAAGCAGCAACGAGAUCCUAUUCGCGUGCCCUAUUUGACGGCUUAUCUUUUGCCUUGCUAGCUGUAGUAGGCAAGUAGCAAAAAUAUGCAGCAGUUGCAUUUUAACCCCACAACGUAUCACGCGUUGGUCAUAUCACCUCCUCAAGUACUACAAAACCGGAUGUUUAACUCUCUAACCUGCACAAAACUGUUUAAAUGACCCCCUGAGGUAGCUUUGCAUGGUAGUUUUGCCACGUUGGCAUGCUGAGAUGGACGGAGAUGCUGGUGUGGAUCGACUGAUACGCGAGCUCUGUUUGCAAGUUGACAGGUCACGGUCCUCUAUCUUAGUCUUCUCCUCCCUCUCCCAUGGCCGCUCCAGCGCUCCACUCAACAUGCUCGUUGUCCUUGAGCAGCGGGAGCCUGCCGACGAGGUCAUCUGAGCAGCAAGUUCAGGCGUGGGCACAGCGGGUUAGCUGCAGCUUUGGUGCCAAAGGUCAGGGCACCCUUGCUGGGUUUGUGCAAGCCCACGCGCCACGAUGUUGCUCUGCUCUAGGCCGAGGUUCUCACACAACUGAUGCGGUAGCUGCUCCGCGAGCGCCUCCAGGACGUCGCCGUCGUCACGCUUGCUAAAGGGCCCGGCAUGGUUAUCGAAAAUCAUACCCGAAAAGAAAUCUGGCCGAGCCGAGCCCGUCUAGACUAUUGUUUCAUUUAUUUUUUCUAUUAAUUAAAGAAGAACGGGAAGGCUGAGCUGACCCAAAAAUGAUCCCGACAAUAUCUAUGUGAUAGUCUUGGGCUCAAAUUUUCGAUCCGAAAUAAAUCGGGCUUUUGUCGGCCCGGUUUGAAAAAUGCUCUAGGUCUAGUUACAUGUACCAGAAAUCACUAAUAAACUUUGUGAAGGUCUGAAGGGAUGUGAAGAGAGGUAAAAACUUUUCCACCUUUCAUCAUGAUUGCGCUGCAUGCUCUGCUGUGCACUGGAGCAGCCGGGGUCCGGUCCUUCACCUGAUCAUCUCCAACAGAUCGAUCCUCACUUCCUGCUGGUCAUGUGCACCUCAGCUUUUGCUGUAACGACAGCGUACCCUACGAUUCAUUUUGGGGCAAUCUUUGCUACGAUUUUAGGCCUUGUUUAGUUGGGGAAUUUGGGAGGUGCCAAAUUACUGUUACAGCACUGUAGCACACUGUAGCGUUUCGUUUGUAUUUGUGAAUUAUUGUCCAAAUAUUGACUAAUUAGGCUCAAAAGAUUCGUCUCGCAAAGUACAACAAAACUGUGCAAUUAGUUUUUAAUUUCAUCUACAUUUAGUACUCCAUGCAUGUACCGCAAGUUUGAUGUGAUGGGGAAUCUUCUUUUUGCAUAGUGUCAAAGUUGGGAGUUGGGAGUAACUAAACAUGGCCUUAACUUCUGAGGAGACAAGGGACAAGCAAUCAUACGAGCUGAGCUAAAUCAAACGAGCAGGCCUGAUAUACCAGCCGGUACAGCGCACAAAUUUUCAUAUCGGUGGAUGCAGAGCACGGAUGGAUCAACUGGGGGAGCACAAUUUAUUUACGUACGUACGAGUAGCCCGUUUUUUUGCCGGAUCAUUUUAGCUGCAGUGCAGUGUGUACCCCAUGCAUCAACGUUGGCAUCUACUGGAGGUGCGCCUGCUGCUGGAGGGCGUGGUUGUUGUGGCCGCGGCGGGGGUCGUAGCCGUCCCCGUCCACCUCCUUGAACGACUCCGUGUGCACAGCCGUGUGUUGCUGCACGGCGGCGGCGGCGCCGCCGCCGCCGCCGGCGUGGCAGGGGUUCCCGGCGACUUUGGUGACGCGCUCGGAGUGCGUGCCGUGGUCGUCCAUGUUGGGUUGAGGCUGGCCGCUGCCGUGGAAGGCACUCCUCCGCCGCAACCGCAUGGCCAUAGUGAUUGGUUUCCCCUGCGUUUACCCUGUGCCUUCGCACUUGGAUCGCUAUGGUUCGCGGCUUUGCGUGGAUCAACUUGGCUGCUUGGGGUUCUGUUUUAUAGGGGCGCUAUGAUUCUUAACUGCAUGCGUUUUCACUGUGGAUUGCAGCAUUUGUUCUGGCUGGUAGAGUGGUAGUGGUAGGGUAGGACAGUCGUUACAAUAUUUGCUCCGACCUGAUCCAUGGCUUUAUUCUUUCAAGUCCACUCAGGCGAGUCCUCAGGCCUGCGCAGCGCAUCUAGUUCGCUGUGGGCAUGGCAUGGCAUAUACAAUCCCAAAAUGAUUAAAAAGCAAUGAUCAAAGCCGCACAGAUCCUAUUCGCGUGCCAUAUUUGACGGUCUUUUUUUUUUUGGCCUUGCUAGCUGUAGUAUCGAAAUACACGCAGCACUUGCAUAACAAUGCAGAUCAAUGAUUUGAAUCAUAUGAAGCUUGCAUUUUUUGUGGCUUGUUAGUGCCAGUCAGUCACAAAACGUGUGCUACGAAUUAUCCGACCAUAAAGUACAACAGGGGAUCUCGCAAAAUGGAAUCCAAGAGAUCAAGAUAACAGUAGUACAGCUAGGAGAAAAGAAGGAAGUGGACUCAAGUUUCAAACCCUAAAAAACGCAGGACCCAAAGAGCGAGCAAAUUGAAAACAAUUCCCACUUAGAGUUACACCCCCGUACCCCUCACGGAGCCCCACCUGCCAGGGCAGGAGGGUGACGAAAAGGUGUGACGAAGGGUGAGAGGACAAAAAACUGGAUGAUAGAAAAUGAUUCUGCUAAAAGCCUCUUUUUUCUCCUUACCCACCCGCGCGUACCCUCCCACGCGCUAAUCACGUUCCUGAUUUUUUGGGUGAGGUCUCCUUCCUUUUUCACGCUCUGCCGUUCCGCAACUCCAUGAUUUUCUCCGUGGUUUCCUUCCUUUUACACUCUUGAUUGAUCGGUAGACUUCCUAUUGAGAGCCUUCCUUUUGAGAGCCUUUAAUUUAAUUUCGUUCCUAUUUUUUCUCCAUGGUCUUCUUCCUUUUCCAUGCUAUGCUGUCCCGCGACUUCAUGAUUUUCUCCACAGUUUCCAUCCUUUUACAUGCCUUUUACAUGCUCUUGAUUGAUUGGUAGCCUUUGUAUUGGGAGCCUUCCUUUUGAGAGCAUUUACUUUAAUUCCAUUCCUAAUUUUUCUCCAUGAUCUCCUUCCUUUUCCAUGCUUUGCCGUCCCGCGACUCCAAGAUUUUCUCCGUGGUUUCGUUCCUUUUUACACGCUCUUGAUUGGUAGACAUCCUAUUGAGAGCCUUUAAUUUAUAGGUAUGGCGAUGGCAAGUUCUCUCCUACGUCCAAGUCUCCUUCUUGCUUCACGUCCUCCUUCCACCGAGGGGCUAUUACUGGACCUCCACACCCUAACGUAGGAACGCAAUCGAGAUCAAAGGUCUACUAGUCCUUCCACUGAGGACUAUUGCCGGACUUCCACAUCCUCGUGGUGGAACUACAUGCUGGAACUCAAAUGGCUGCCGGCACCAUUUGAUCAAUUUUGCAACCGCCCGGCGAAGGAAGGCCACUGUUGUAAGAUCACCACACCAAUUAGGUAAGGCCCUAAACCUUCAUCUUCUUCCUACUAUAUAAGGUACUUAUUCAUGUUUGAUCAUGUAAUUUCACAAUGUGAUGAUUCCAUAUGUUCUCCACCCUAGACCGCAACGAAACAUUGUCAGAUUGAUAAUCCAUUAUGUUUGUGUACAACUCCAAAAUCUCUAGAUAUCUGAGAGUGAUAAUCCAUGAUGUUUUGAGUUCAUGACAUUGUCUACAUUAUACAUUGAGUUCAUGACAAUGCCCUAUAUCUUGUGUUUAUGCGGCUGACUUUUAGCCAUUACGUAUUAUUCCAUUAUCAUUGUAUCAUGUUACCUGUGUUGCUCUACAAAGAAUGAUAAAUUCUUUUUUUUUUACUCACCAACAGUACAUAAUCCAUCAAAUCUUUCAUUACAUGAUAUCUGAUCAAGAUGGGUCAUCGAGCCGUGCUUGGAGAUGUGAUGAACACACACGUAAGCGGAGCAUCGAUCCAUGGUGUUAAGAGACCUAGAGAAGGUAUCUAAUUUUUGGUUGAAUCAUAAUGUUCUGGUUUCAUAUUUGGUUGAAUCCCAAUGUUCUGGUUGCACAUAACAUAUUAAGGAGACUUAUCCAUGUAACCUUUUGAGCGCAGGUGAAAAUGUUGAUGAUGCAGAAUGACAAAAAGCAAGGGAAUGAUAUGCAAAUAUGCCAUUGGAGAAGAAGGCUGAGUGGAAUGCAAAGAGAAGGGAAGAUCAUCAGCGUAAAAAGGUGGAGAGACAAUCAAGCAAUGGCAUGCUGGAACCUCUCAGACAAUUAGGCAGUGUCAUGCAUGAACUUCUGGGAGAACCAUCAUGUGAUGAACCACCUCUCAAACAAUUAGGCAAUAUCUUAUACAUUCAUUAAAAAUUGUGAGUCAGUAUAGUAGGAUCCUUAAAUUAUGAUAUAGUUUUUUUUUACUUUCACAGGGAUAUCUCAUGAUAUGGAUCGGGUGAUGUUGGUGGGGAUUGGCUUAGUAGGAACCCCAGCUAUACAAGAUCACUGAGAACUUAUCAUAUGCUACCAAUCUUCGUAUCAGGUCUGAUAGUAGUACCUUGACAUGAUGUUCAAUAGGUUUUUUAAUUGAUAUCUUUAAGCAUUUACAAUUUACAUCCCAGAUCUUGAUGAGAUGCCUCUGUAUGUUCUAGGAUUGGAUGGAGUCAAGGAAACGGAUGACGAGGGAAGGCAAAUAUUGAAUUGUCACAGAGAAGUAAGCAAACAUCUGACUUCGUGUUUACUGGUAUGGCUUAUAUGAAACCCAUGUAGCCCUAGCAUAUAAUCAUACAUGCAGGAUAUCGCCUCUAACAAUAGGCAUGUAUAUUUAUAUAUUUAAAGAUGUACCAAUGAUCAGCAUUGUCCCUAAUGAUGUGUCUCUACAAGAUCUGAGAGUGGAGGAAAGCAUGGAAAAGGAGGGGCAUACAUUUGCCUCAAUGUCAGCUGAUAAGAAAAGCGUGAGGAAUGCCAAAAGAAGAGCAAAUUACCAUCACUCAAAGUGCCAGGAAGAGGCAAUCUUCCUUGAUGUAGAAAAACCUAAUCUCACCUUCACUGGUAUGCAUGUUAAUUUUUGCCUACAAAAUUUGAUGGAGUUCCAGCGACUUGCAAUUAUUCUAAUUUUACGCUACAAGCAGGAGAAAUUGGAUAUAGACAAUAUGUGGUAACGGCAAACAUUGCAACUCCAGAUGCAUGUUUGAAAUUGUACUGCCUAUGUUUAAAAUUUUAUUUAAGCACAUGGAUGCGUAUAUAAGUUUUUUUAAUAAGGUGACCAACAUAUUGGAGUAGAGGUGUCUCCGGAGGAACUGAAGAGGUUAAGAGAAAGGAAAAGAUAUGUUGAACUAUCUGACUUUGAAAGACAACAAAAAAUAUUAAAAAAUAACAAUGGACGACACAAUAAAAUUUCUAAACAAGGUACUAUAUUUGAGCUAUUUUCUCAAAUUCCAUUAAUUGUUUUAUACUAUAUAUAAUUAUGUUGUUCCAUUUUUGGGCGAAUGUUUCAGAUAUAGGGUUACAAACCCCUAUUGGAACAUUGCAGUCUGGGGUAACCCAGUUAGGGUCUGGUCCAAGAACAAGGGGUUCUAUUAAUAAUGAAAAUGCCGAACCUAAUCAAUCUGGUUUAUAAGAACCAAACAAUCCAUUGCACGGAAUAGAAGGUAACUUUAAAUCACUUGGUCUUGUCUAUGAUUUUCAUUGUACGUUGACAAUAUCCCAAUUAAUAUAUUGUAUUCUAUUCUACAAUGAAACAGAGAACAAUUUAGAUGAGAUGGAUCCUGACCAAGAAGGAGAUGAUAAGUUAGAUGAUGGUGAAGCGAGGGUAUUUUACCAACGAGGUAUGUUAUAUAUUAUUGAAAUGAAUGUAACUUUCCUCUCGCAACAAGAUGGUUUAUAAUUAAUUAUUGGUUUGUGGCAGAUAUCCAUUACAAGUAUUAUAGAGAUCCGGAUAUGGCUUCUAAGGGUCCUGAACCAUUUGAUGGAGUGUACAUGAACCUUCCUAAGAAGCAUCAUGUGUUGAAGAAGGCCAAAAACUGUGAGUUCUGCAAUGCGAAGAAGUUCCUUGGUGAAAGACCUGCUUUAUGUUGCAGGAAUGGGAAGGUCCACAUAUAUGUCCCAGAAGUUUUGUCUGAGCUUCACCGGUUAUUUACGAGUCAAACGGAUAAGGAUGCAAGGUAUUUCAGAAAGCACAUAUGGUACUUCAACUCACAUUUCUCUUUCACCAGCUUUAGGUUUUCCAUUGACCGUCAUCUCGCGUAUGCAAGAGGUAAUGGUGUGUAUACCUUUAAGGCACAUGGCCAGAUUUACCAUAAGCUCGAUCCACUUGUGCCGGGUGGGAAAGGGCCACGCCAUAUGCAGCUCUACAUUUAUGACACGGAUGAUAGUAUUGGUUAUCGUGUUAAGACAUCCCCUAAUCUUGAUGAGAACCGGAUCCGCUUGAUCCGUGGUAUUUUACGGGACAAUCCGUACAUCCAAGUGUUCACAAGCCUAGGUACUCUUGCAGAUAUUCAAGAGUACAUGAUUGAGUUGAAUACCAAGAUUUCUAUUGAUUAGAGGAGAUACAAUGCACCCAAAAUGGAGCAGAUUGCGGCUAUCUAGGUUGAUGGCAAUAACUCUCAGCAUAGGUUCUCCCGGAGCAUUGGAUAUAUGGAAAAUGAGAUGAUCCGUACUAUAUUAUGGCGUACCAUGGCUGUUAUGACCCAUUGGCAUAUCCUUUGUUUUUCCCUUGUGGCGAGACUGACUGGGAGGACAAGACGAUAGUGUUUCGAGAUCCACCACCAUCAAAGCCAAAGUGGAAGUAUACUAAGCGUAACAGGAAAAGGUAUGCGUAUUCCACCAUUCUUUCGUACUUCAUCCAUAGAUUCAUUGCACUCACUAUAUGAAAUCUGAUGAUUUAUGCUGCAACAUAGAUGGAACUGAAGCCGAUGUGGGUGAUCGUACAAACAAUGACCAUUGUGUCGUGCAAGGACGUAAAAAAAGAGUCGCUCAUGGUAUGUACUAUUUUUCUUGUGCUUUCAUACACACUUCACUUUGCUGUAUUUGUAAAGUAUUUAUUUACUUUUGCCUCAUAGAUCCGCAUAUUGAUGAAGCAGAUGACACAGCAUAUGGUGACUACAUCAAUGAGGAAGGUGUGUAUGCAGAUAUGCCAUAUUAUAUCAUUCACAAAUUUAAGAUUGAAAAGUAAGAGCGUCGGAGGAGAGGAGGUGGAGCGGUGGCGGCGGUGGAAGAGAGGAGGGGGUAGCGGCGCUAGCACCGGAGGAGAGGAGUGGCGAAGCGAUACCGGCGGUAGAGAGGAGGAGAGGUUCGAGAGAGGCAACAGGCAGGUGGCGGCGGGAGAGAGAGGAGGGGUAGUGGUGGUUAGGGUUUAGAUUUAGUUUUAUGUGGGGUGGAGGGUAACGGGCCAAUACAGGCCGGCACCCUAAAAUCGUGCCGGGCCGGGCCGCCCGUCGUGCCGAGGUGGCGGCCCACGCCCGGCAUGAGCCAUUAGGCUGAGCCAGCCCGAGCUCAAAGAGUUACGGGCCGGGCCAGGCUUAGGACGGGCCAAAAAACCGAGUUUUGUGUUGGGCUGUCAGGCUGCUGGCUGCAUGGACUAUCUAUACCCUAAAUGAAACUUAAUUAAACCAUGGAUGUAAUAAUUAAUAAGUAGAAGGAAAAAAAUCAAACUCAAUUAUGUAUUAAAUUCAAUGAGAUUCAUCAAUUAAAACUAUGGAUGUAAUAAUUAAUAAGUAGAAAAAAUAUAAUCAAACUCAAUUCUAUAUUACAUUAAAAUGAUAAACAUAGCAUUGUAAUGGUUAUAAUAUGACCAUAGAAUUUUAUUUAAAAAAAUAAUCCAUCUUUAGUUAUUUUCUCUCUCUUCUAGGUCUAGAUCUUGAUCUAGAUGACAACCUAAUGAAGCUAGAAAUGAUGUAUAGAAGUUGAAAAUGAAGGUUGGAAUGGCACAUACUUACCUUUUAUAGCCACCUCCUCCAAAGAAAACAAGAGCUCCAAAUGGAAGGUUGGCUGGUGAAGAAGCUGUUCGCGACUUUAUCUGGGCGGCAUCUGUGCUAGCGGGCCACCUAACGCACCCGCCAGCACAUAUGCAUCCCAUGUGUGCUGGCGGACGCUUAGCUCGCCCGUCAGCACAGAGCUGGCUCUGUGCUGGCAGGCACUAGCCCGGUGGCCCCGAUCAUCUUUGUGCUGGUGGGUGCCAAUUUCACCCGUCAGUAUGCUAAUUUCGACGUGCCAACACAAAUCAUUUUCGGGGUAGUGUUUCUCUUGGCCCUGAUCUUGUGUGGUUGUGUUGGUACUUGGUACUCGGUAUGGCCUGGCACUGGCACCGCAUUGGGUCGGCUUUUAUAGGAGCUCAACACGCGUAGUCAUGGGCUCGCUCAUGGCAUUGAUGGAAGAAGAAUUUGCGCAGUAGGGUAGUGCAGGGGCUGCAGGCUGCUCAGCUGAUGGGCUCGGACCGUCGGACGUGGUCAGUUGCUUUAGUUUUUGAGUGAUCGAGUCCACUAAUGUCUCGAGCAUCAUCGAGAACAAUUCUGGUGCUCCAACCCCUUGAGGUAGUACUCCCGAGUGACAAAUAAAAAAAGAUCAUAUCCUUCGCAAAAGAAAAGGAAAAAAAGCUGAGAGUGGAAAAUCAACCAAUAAAAGAGGCGAUUAGAAAUUUGCAGACCGGCAGUAGUGAAUUGUUAAUGCGCCUUGCGUUGUGAUUAAUUAAAUACACGAAAGGCUGCUUGUACAAUCAGGAAAAAUUGCCCUCCUGGCACUCACUGGCAAAACCACGGAUCGGAGCUGCUUCCCUGGGGCAAAACGAUUUCCUCGCAUGCAUGCUGGAGAGCAAGACCGGAUCGUUCACCCUCUAGCCGUGAUAUCUUGCUCCAUGAGGGAUCUCUGCUAGCUCUACAAGCUUGGGCGCGCGCCAUGGCUGCCAUGAUGCCCAGCAGCCGGUCCGGGUCCGCCCCUUCACCUGCGACGACGACAGAUCACAGAACGGCGAGCCGAGGCGGGGAGAGAGAGCGAGAGCGUCACCAGAUGCAACGUGGCGCAGGAAGCGAGGCAUGCAUCCAGGAGGAAGAAGAAGGAGAUCGGGAUGGUCAGACUCAGACAGGCGGCGGCGGCGCUCCGGCGAGCCGUGGCGUGAAGCAGAGGCGGCGUACCAUGCGACCUAAGGAGCGGUCGUUGUUUCAGAAAAUACCGUCCACCCCUUGGGAGCCUGUGAACCGUCCGGUCGAGCCUGUGUGGCCCAGAAUAGACCCACGGCGGGAGGCGCCUGCCUCGUCAGGCUCGGAUGACGGGCGCGUACAUGGCGGCCCGCCGAGACUGAAGAAGCAGAGGAUGUCUGGCUCGCUUGCCCGGGCUUCGAGCACCAGUGGCGGCGGCGCGAUUCUACACGUGUUCGUGUAAAUGCCUCACUACCGCAACGAUUUCGGUGGGGGAUGCAAACUCGCGCAGGUCCCGCCUCCCGCCCCGAUUACGCUCUCGGAACAAAAACAAAAGGAAAACAGUAGCAGCACAGAGCGUGCCUCGAAACCUUUUAUUCAUGUCACGGUCUUAUUCUUGUAUGUAUACAUAAAGUGCAUGCAGUGUGCGUACACACACUCAUGUGACCGUGCACACCGUACACAUAGCUAGCUAGCUGUCAGGACGCAGGAAGCAGCUGGCAGCGCUGCGUUCCUGACGAUGACCGUGAAGUUCACCUCGAUCGUCCGAUCCGCGUUCAGGCGUAGUACUCGCCGGUGCACGAGUCGUAGCGCUUGCUCUCGCACGCGUCGUAGUGGCGCCCGCCGUGGCCGUAGCCGCCGUGCCCGUGCCCGUGCAGGUGGUGCUGCUCGCGGUGCUCGCCGAGGUGGCCGUGGCAGGACCCCUCGUGCCCGGCGUAGCCACCGACGUGGUGGUGGUGGUGGCUGCCGCUGCGGCCGAGGUGGCCGCCGCCGUACUGACCGUGGCCGUGGCCGUAGUGGCCCCUGCCGGCGCGCGCCACCUCGUCGAUCUCCUCGUACUCCUUGCGGACGGCGUAGCGCUCGCCGCCCUCGCCGUAGCGGUACCCGGGCUCGGCGUACGGCCUCCUCACGUCCUCCGCGCAGUAGCCGGACUCCGAGUAGUACGCCAUGGCGGCGGUGAUGCCCUGGUGUCAGCUAGCUGAUCAGUUCGUUGCAGUGAACGGACUUGUGUGCGCGGUGAUCUGCAAUGCUGAGACCUGAUCGAUCGAUGCAGGAUAUAUACAUGGACUGGCCCUGCUUUUAUAGGGUGCAAGCAAAGCAACUCAUCCUCAUGCAUGAUUCAGAUGGAAGAAAUGCUCUGGUAAGGACGUGAGGAUGGAUGCAUGAGUGGAGCAGGGAACUUGUUCUGAAAGAUACGUGCGCGCUCACUGCUUUCUGCCGAGCCGUGCCACCUGCACGUUGGGAUCGAAGG
rnacentral:lncRNA from 1 species